rnacentral:rRNA from 1 species
AUGGAUGGAGCUUGGUACAUCCUCAAAGAGUUUGUCGACAACCUCAAUCAUGAGCUGAUUAAGAAGUUUGACCUGGUAAAAAAUUUGAGCGCCCACCGAGGAUUCAACCCCCAUGAGAAGCAUUUUAUAAAAUUGUUGCAUGAUUGCAAUGUCAAUAUUGCAAGAAUUAUCCAGAUAUUGUCCCUCAUCCACAGCAACGAUGGAAAACUGAGUAGCUUGCCCUACCUACCAGCAAACGUCACAUACCUAAAGGCAAAGUAUUGCAUAGAAAGAAAGUUAGUUGAUGUAGAAGACACCAUUGCCUACUUCAAAGAGAAAGAGAAGGAGGAUCCUCAUUUCUUCUAUAGAAUAAGACUCUCGAUGGUGACGACCGUGUCAAAAACAUGUACUGGUGGAUGGUCAGCACGGAGAGCCUACAAACAUUUUCGUGACUACAUUUCUUUCGAUGUGACCUAUCUCACGAAUAUGUACAAGAUGCCAUGUGCUCAAUUCAUAGGCAUAAAAAAUGACAACCAGUCCUUGCAAUUCGGUUGCGGCCUUGUACGGAACAAAGAUAUUGAUGGCUACACAUAGUUGUUCAGAACCUUCUUGGAGUGCACAGAUGGACUUGCUCAAAUGAACAUAACAACAAACCAAGACUUUAUCAUGCUUCGAGGAAUCAAGGAAUUCUUCCCCCUUGUAGUGCAUAGGCACUGUAGGUGACAUAUUAUAAGGAAGGCAGAAGAGACUCUGGGACCGUUCUUUGCUGACCGUCAAGUUCUACAUAAGGCAUUCGAGUUGUGCAUGGACCAUAGCUUGAUAGUGGAAGAGUUUGAACGAAGCUGGAUGGCCAUGAUUGAAAAAUACCAAGUUUAG